rnacentral:rRNA from 1 species
UACAGAGGGUGCAAACGUUGUUCGGAAUCACUGGGCAUAAAGCGUAUGUAGGCGGCUCCGUAAGUGUCGGGUGAAAUCCCACGGCCUACCCGUGGAACUGUUCGGCAUACUGCGGAGCUAGAGGAUGGUAGAGGAGAGCGGAACUCUUGGUGGAGCGGUGAAAUGCGUAGAUAUCUGGAGGAAUACCGGUGGCGAAGGCGGCAUCCUGGACCAUUACUGACGCUGAGGCGCGAAAGCUAGGGGAGCAAACGGG